GACGAACGCUGGCGGCGUGCUUAACACAUGCAAGUCGAACGGAAAGGCCCUGCUUUGGUGGGGUGCUCGAGGGGCGAACGGGUGAGUAACACGUGAGUAACCUGCCCUUGACUUUGGGAUAACUUCAGGAAACUGGGGCUAAUACCGGAUAGGACCUCCUGCUGCAUGGUGGGGGUUGGAAAGUUUCGGCGGUUGGGGAUGGACUCGCGGCUUAUCAGCUUGUUGGUGGGGUAGUGGCUUACCAAGGCUUUGACGGGUAGCCGGCCUGAGAGGGUGACCGGCCACAUUGGGACUGAGAUACGGCCCAGACUCCUACGGGAGGCAGCAGUGGGGAAUAUUGCACAAUGGGCGGAAGCCUGAUGCAGCAACGCCGCGUGCGGGAUGACGGCCUUCGGGUUGUAAACCGCUUUCGCCUGUGACGAAGCGUGAGUGACGGUAAUGGGUAAAGAAGCACCGGCUAACUACGUG
rnacentral:rRNA from 1 species